rnacentral:rRNA from 1 species
ACUGAAACAUCUAAGUACCCUGAGGAAAAGAAAUCAACCGAGAUUCCCUUAGUAGUGGCGAGCGAACGGGGAUUAGCCCUUAAGCUUCAUUGAUUUUAGCGGAACGCUCUGGAAAGUGCGGCCAUAGUGGGUGAUAGCCCCGUACGCGAAAGGAUCUUUGAAGUGAAAUCGAGUAGGACGGAGCACGAGAAACUUUGUCUGAACAUGGGGGGACCAUCCUCCAAGGCUAAAUACUACUGACUGACCGAUAGUGAACCAGUACCGUGAGGGAAAGGCGAAAAGAACCCCGGAGAGGGGAGUGAAAUAGAACCUGAAACCGUAUGCGUACAAGCAGUGGGAGCCUACUUGUUAGGUGACUGCGUACCUUUUGUAUAAUGGGUCAGCGACUUAUAUUCAGUGGCAAGCUUAACCGUAUAGGGUAGGCGUAGCGAAAGCGAGUCUUAAUAGGGCGUUUAGUCGCUGGGUAUAGACCCGAAACCGGGCGAUCUAUCCAUGAGCAGGUUGAAGGUUAGGUAACACUGACUGGAGGACCGAACCCACUCCCGUUGAAAAGGUAGGGGAUGACUUGUGGAUCGGAGUGAAAGGCUAAUCAAGCUCGGAGAUAGCUGGUUCUCCUCGAAAGCUAUUUAGGUAGCGCCUCAUGUAUCACUCUGGGGGGUAGAGCACUGUUUCGGCUAGGGGGUCAUCCCGACUUACCAAACCGAUGCAAACUCCGAAUACCCAGAAGUGCCGAGCAUGGGAGACACACGGCGGGUGCUAACGUCCGUCGUGAAAAGGGAAACAACCCAGACCGCCAGCUAAGGUCCCAAAGUUGUGGUUAAGUGGUAAACGAUGUGGGAAGGCUUAGACAGCUAGGAGGUUGGCUUAGAAGCAGCCAUCCUUUAAAGAAAGCGUAAUAGCUCACUAGUCGAGUCGGCCUGCGCGGAAGAUGUAACGGGGCUCAAACCACACACCGAAGCUGCGGGUGUCACGUAAGUGACGCGGUAGAGGAGCGUUCUGUAAGCCUGUGAAGGUGAGUUGAGAAGCUUGCUGGAGGUAUCAGAAGUGCGAAUGCUGACAUGAGUAACGACAAUGGGUGUGAAAAACACCCACGCCGAAAGACCAAGGGUUCCUGCGCAACGUUAAUCGACGCAGGGUUAGUCGGUUCCUAAGGCGAGGCUGAAAAGCGUAGUCGAUGGGAAACAGGUUAAUAUUCCUGUACUUCUGGUUACUGCGAUGGAGGGACGGAGAAGGCUAGGCCAGCUUGGCGUUGGUUGUCCAAGUUUAAGGUGGUAGGCUGAAAUCUUAGGUAAAUCCGGGGUUUCAAGGCCGAGAGCUGAUGACGAGUCGUCUUUUAGAUGACGAAGUGGUUGAUGCCAUGCUUCCAAGAAAAGCUUCUAAGCUUCAGGUAACCAGGAACCGUACCCCAAACCGACACAGGUGGUCGGGUAGAGAAUACCAAGGCGCUUGAGAGAACUCGGGUGAAGGAACUAGGCAAAAUGGCACCGUAACUUCGGGAGAAGGUGCGCCGGCUAGGGUGAAGGAUUUACUCCGUAAGCUCUGGCUGGUCGAAGAUACCAGGCCGCUGCGACUGUUUAUUAAAAACACAGCACUCUGCAAACACGAAAGUGGACGUAUAGGGUGUGACGCCUGCCCGGUGCCGGAAGGUUAAUUGAUGGGGUUAGCGCAAGCGAAGCUCUUGAUCGAAGCCCCGGUAAACGGCGGCCGUAACUAUAACGGUCCUAAGGUAGCGAAAUUCCUUGUCGGGUAAGUUCCGACCUGCACGAAUGGCGUAACGAUGGCGGCGCUGUCUCCACCCGAGACUCAGUGAAAUUGAAAUCGCUGUGAAGAUGCAGUGUAUCCGCGGCUAGACGGAAAGACCCCGUGAACCUUUACUGUAGCUUUGCACUGGACUUUGAGCCUGCUUGUGUAGGAUAGGUGGGAGGCUUUGAAGCGUGGACGCCAGUUCGCGUGGAGCCAUCCUUGAAAUACCACCCUGGCAUGCUUGAGGUUCUAACUCUGGUCCGUGAUCCGGAUCGAGGACAGUGUAUGGUGGGCAGUUUGACUGGGGCGGUCUCCUCCUAAAGAGUAACGGAGGAGUACGAAGGUGCGCUCAGACCGGUCGGAAAUCGGUCGCAGAGUAUAAAGGCAAAAGCGCGCUUGACUGCGAGACAGACACGUCGAGCAGGUACGAAAGUAGGUCUUAGUGAUCCGGUGGUUCUGUAUGGAAGGGCCAUCGCUCAACGGAUAAAAGGUACUCCGGGGAUAACAGGCUGAUACCGCCCAAGAGUUCAUAUCGACGGCGGUGUUUGGCACCUCGAUGUCGGCUCAUCACAUCCUGGGGCUGAAGCCGGUCCCAAGGGUAUGGCUGUUCGCCAUUUAAAGUGGUACGCGAGCUGGGUUUAGAAC